AUUCCAGCUCCAAUAGCGUAUAUUAAAGUUGUUGCAGUUAAAAAGCUCGUAGUUGAACUUCUGGCGGAUGUUUUCGCUGGCUUCGGUCGCGUUAAUGUCUGUCAUCCGCUAGGGAACCUCGUUCGGUCUUCAUUGGUCGGCGGGAGGAUCUGGCAUUUUACUUUGAAAAAAUUAGAGUGUUCAAGGCAGGCAAUCGCCAUGAAUACACAAGCAUGGAAUAAUGGAAUAGGACUUAUGGUCAUUUUAUUGGUUAUUGACUGUAAGUAAUGAUUAAUAGGGACAGUUGGGGGCAUUAGUAUUUAAUUGUCAGAGGUGAAAUUCUUGGAUUCGGUCAAGACUAACUUAUGCGAAAGCAUUCACCAAGGAUGUCUUCAUUA
rnacentral:rRNA from 1 species